GACGAGGCUCUGGCUUUAACUAAUAUUUAUGGCUGUCUUUUACUAACAUUGUAUGUCAUGUUAUAGAGCUUGCAGAUGGACUAACCAGGCUGGCAGUGUGUGGCAGCUAACUUGUUUAUAAAUGUGGAAACAUCUCAUUCACACAAAACACAGAUGAGCCGUGCAAUGCUUUGAUGUGUCUCUAAUUAUACAUCGAUGUAAACUCUAACAAUGCAUAGCCAAAUAUAAAUCUAAUUUUAAUAUGUUUUAUAUUACAGAUGACAAACGAUUUAUUAGUAAUAUCACUGUUUAUAUUUUAUCUGGAUAAGAUACUCAAUUAGACAUCAAGAUGACUGUCACUCGUACACUCAAAAGAUACUAAGAGUAUAGAAGCCAAAAGAGAAACUUGAGUGAUGCAAAAGUUAAAAUUGCUACGAUGGUGCUCACCACAUGUACUCGCAAGUCAAGUUCCUCAAGAUGAAGCAUUAAUAACGCAGCCCUGACAAAAUAAUGCAAAUUUGAAGAAUUCAUAAACAUAAAAAGAACUAACUACUAAUUAAGGUAUAGACUAGAAGAAAUAAUAAAAAUUAAAAUGUAAUAUAAUACUUAGCUACCUACGUUUCGCUACUUCAUACUGAACUGAACCGGAGCCUGACAAUGCACCACACGACCUUUUUCUGAUUAUGUAAAACGCCAUGAAUAGAAUAGAAUUGAUCACAUCUCACAAGGAAGGAGGAGUGAUAUCGCCAAGAAGAAAUUACUGUCUCAAUGCGUAAAAUAUUACUCUACGAAGCAAGAAGGCUAAGAAUAAAGAAAGAAAAGAAAGCAAAACAUAAACGCAAGACGCAAAUAGUAGUUCACGACACGACAAGUUCAUCAGUAUCAUGGAAUUAUCGACAUUGGACUUGAAAUCUCAGUUGAAGUUCCGGUAUUGGAUUGACGACAGCAGUCAACUAUCGAUGAACACUGAUUUGAAGAUGCUUGACGUUCUACAGAGGAAGCAAGAAAAUAAUAAUUAGUGAUAUUUACAAAUUAAAACAUAGUAGUUAUGCACUUUUAUUCAAAUUAAUAUUGUUUACUGAUCAGUAAUAAUAUCAUAACCCAAGACUUGUAGCAGCUUAUGCUGAACCUCAUCAUGGCUCUUUUGUUUUUUUUUCUUUAUUUUUCAUUUUCUAAUAUUAAUUUAGUGGACAUAAAAUGCCAGCUACUCGGAUAUGUAGGUGACUUGGGACUGAUUUUUUAAUCGUUGAAUAUCUGCUGAAGAAUAAACAUUUUGACAUAU